GGUCUGGUGGUCUAGUGGUAUGAUUCUCGCUUAGGGCAGGUCAUUAUAUCCGAAUGGAAUGUAUAUGUCCGCACACACCCCAAGCAACAUUUGCGAGAGGUCCCGGGUUCAAUCCCCGGCCAGACCC